GAUGAUGACCUGUUGCUGACGACCUGCCAGCACGGGGCAGUGCAGGCCGAGAAGAGGAUGCAUUGUGAAGGUGUUGUGUCCUGAGGCCGCAGCGGGAACCAGAAGGAAAGUGUGACGCAUCUCACGGCACACCUUGGCCUGCACCUCGUCCCUCCCUGCAGGUGCAUGGUGCCCAACGGGACGCUUCACCUCACCUGGGUCAACGCCCGGAGCAGACUGAUGAAGGCAUCCACCAGUGCCUCCCUGGGUGUGGGCACCUUCAUAUCCACCCGCGCCAUGCUCAGCAUUGUUUGGACCUGGACACACUGUUCUGCGGCACCACCAGCAGCAGCCUGCACAUCCAUGGCCUGCAGGAGGAGGACGAGGGGACGUACAGGUGCCGUGCGGAGAACAGGGAGAACUCGCUCGACGCCGUGGCCCACAUACAGGUCCAAGUUGCUCCGAGGUUUCUGAGGCAGCCGGCCAACGCCCUCGCCUAUGAAAAGGAGCACGUGGAGCUGAAGUGCAGCGUGUAAGGCCAGCCUGAGCCCUCGCUCCACUGGCUUAAGAACGGCGAGCUGCUGGUGGAGACGGAAUACCUUCAGAGUGUGAGCGGCAACAACCUGGAGAUCCAUGGCCUGGUGCGCCAGGACUCCGGGAUGUACCAGUGUGUGGCGCACAGCUCCGCCGGGGACGCCCAGCUGUGUGUCCUUGAGUCAAAGAACGCGUCCAGAACGUGAGUGCAGCUCCUCCAGCGAGGGACUGGAUGAAUACAAGACCCAGAUCAGCGACCUAAGUCCCGGGAGUAACUGCAUGGUGCGGGUGGCGGCCUACACCUCCGGCGGCCUGGUGGGCGCCUCCAUACACGAGGUGCGGGUGUUCACCAAGCCGGACCUGGACCUGCCCUCCGCCCCAGAGUCUGAAAGUUGUCCCCACCUCACCCACCAGUCUGGGUGUCACUUGGUCGCCGCCCGUACUGGCCAAAACGCCCAUCACGGGAUACACCAUGUUCUAUAUGCAGAUGUGGACGGCCUUAUAGAACUGUGUGCUAAAUGUGGAGUCCCUGUUGCCUAACAAAAGUCUUCCCAUAUCCUUGUGUGUCAUUAGUGACCUUCCUUUGAGUACAGGGUAACCAUAGCCGUGUGUUUGUACAAGUGCCAGUGUGUAUCUUAGCCAUUGUCUCCCUUGUAAUUUUCUCCUCAGGUUGGGUCAGCAGAAGAACACGAGGUAGAGGUCACUGGUACGUCAUAUGACCUCCAAGGCCUGGACCAGUUCACUGAGCAUAGCGUAUGGCUCACCGCCGUCAACAGUAAUGGCGGGGGAGACGCCACCCCGGAGGUCACUGCCAGAACCUUCUCAGACGUGCCCUCAAAGGAGCCUCAGAAUGUGAGCGUUGAGGCUGCCAGCUCAAGGAGCCUCAUCAUCUGCUGGGAGCCUCCGCUGGCCGAGCACCAGAAUGGGAUCAUCACCAGCUGCAAGAUCCCCGACAAGGAGCUCGGCGAGUCAGGUUCCUCCAAAACCAAAGCAACAGACGGAAACAGACGACUCU